rnacentral:rRNA from 1 species
UACAGAGGGUGCGAGCGUUAAUCGGAAUUACUGGGCGUAAAGGGCUCGUAGGCGGCCAACUAAGUCCGACGUGAAAUCCCCAGGCUUAACCUGGGAACUGCGUCGGAUACUGGAUGGCUUGAAUCCGGGAGAGGGAUGCGGAAUUCCAGGUGUAGCGGUGAAAUGCGUAGAUAUCUGGAGGAACACCGGUGGCGAAGGCGGCAUCCUGGACCGGCAUUGACGCUGAGGAGCGAAAGCCAGGGGAGCAAACGGG